GCACGUGAACCCGUGAGCAUCCGUUCACAGUCAGGGCCCUCUGUGUGACUCCCUUUCCCGGUGUUCCCUGGCCCUGUGGCCGGCUGGCUUUCUUGGGUGCUUGUUCCUAAGAACUAAGCCACUUUCUCAGAGUCGGGACGCCGGACCAGCCCUCCUGCCGUCUGUGCAGCGCAGUGAGCUGGUGUUCAAGGUGAGUGGGACCUUCUAAAGCAGCCCUGUACUCACGAAUGCUUUAAACUCUGGGGGGGGAAAGACCACCCACCCAGGGUCCCUGUGUGCCUCCUGCCGCCGACGUCACCUUUCCAAAGUGUGUGUUCCUCGGAGUAAAUGUGAAGAAUCGUGCUUUUUUUUAACUUUUGCUCUAGAGAUUCUAAGUAUCCAGUCCUUUGAGAGGAACCAUUUUAGCAACGGUUUCGUGACAGAGAAGCUCGAGGGGCGCUCUGCGGCCCCAGGAAUAGGGAGAAACACUUUAGUGGCACCACCUACCUGUCUUGGACGUGUUCUGGCCUGUGACCCUCUGUUACCGAAGCGGGGGGCGGGGAGCCUGGUUCUUGCCCUUGGUUGACCACCCUGCUUGUAGGGUUCUUCGGGGAACCCCGUUACUUCAUCGACUUCACCGAGGAGUGACGCUAGGAAGCCACUCUGAUAACUGUGAGGAAACCACAUCCGGAAACCAGGUUGAGCCUGGUGAGGUUUGAGCGGUAUUUCCGUGUAAGUUCGAGACUUCCCUGGCGAGAGCCGGACUCCGUCCAGUCCCUCGCCCUGGCCGCUGCGUGCCCUUGCGCCCUGGGUGCCUGCUGGGGGCGGGGCUGGCGAGGAAGGACGUUGAGAGCGUAACCCUCUGAGGGACAGUGAGGAGCCCGGCCUGGGGCUCAGGGGUUGGGGGUGGGGGGGUGUGGGAACAGCACCCCUCACUGUGGCUUCUGUCGAGAAGACAAAAGGAGUUGAUAAAAAUCGUGUAUUGAAAGUAGGUGGAGGGAGGGCUGCUCAUCCCGGUGCUGACGACACUGUCAUUUGUCUGAUUAGCAACAGAAGAAAAUCUCCGAUUUUAAAGAGCACAACGGUUUAUAAGCUGAGUCAGGAAAAGACAGAAGCCUCGGAAGACUCGUCCUUGAGACAAAACAAAGUUGGUUCGCUGCAUCGCAUUAUAAUCAGCCACUACAGGCUCUGCCCCCCGCAGUCUGGAAGUCUUUUAGCCCCAAAAAAGAAGGGAGGAAAGAGAGCUGGGGGUCACAGGAAGGCAGUGAAAGGUCACUCAGGUGCAGGGACAGGUGGUGCGUUUCCUGAGGACAAAGAGGAUGUAUCAUGAAACAAGACAUUCACCCACAGCGUUCUGCUCCCUAAACCGGCCUCCUGGUGAAGAAGACGUUCUGUCACUGGUCUCGGCUCUUACCGAGAGCAGGGGACGGCCCGGCCCUUGCGCACAGCGCGUCGUGGCUCUGCAGACGGCCCGCCUGCGGUUCCACGCUUGCAGGGUCUCUCUGGCAGCCUCCUGGGCGGCUCCUCCGUUCACUCACUCCUUCCUUCCAGAAACACCCACUGACUCCUCGCUGUGCGCUUAUGCCCGUUGCCUUAUUUAAUCCCGGCAGCGCCACGGAGCACACGCUGUCGUCGUUGCCACCCCCGUGUUGUGGAUGAGGAAACACGGCAAGGGAGUCUCAGAGCCUCGUCCUGCGGGCCAGACCCAGAGUGCAAGCUGGGUGUGUGCCCGAUCCCCAGCCAUUUUGCUGUGCUCCCUCCUUAGGAGUCACAGGGCGGGGACAGAACUCAUAUAGGAAAACCACAAUAACCUGUUCAUGUGGCGGAGAGAUUAUUCAGCAUUCGAAAUUGAAAAAAGUGUAUGUGGAUGAUCUGUAUAGGUAACUGGUGUCUUUACAAUGAUAAUUAAUGAAGAAUGGCAAGAUCCCAGAAUAUUCUUUAAAUUGUCAAGAUAAGUUAAAAUCCCACGUAGUUCAGUAUGACGCAUAUUCAUUCAUUCUUUGGAGUUUUAUUUCUCAAAGCCGGCCAGAUUGCAAAGGCCUAUAAAAUAUGCAUAAGAUAGGAGAUACUACAUAGUAAGAUAUCAGAGCAGAAGGGAAAUUGAUGGUUGAAUGGUCAGAAACGAAGAGGCAUUAGAGCCUAGGGGAUCAAGUUUUAGACAGGAGCCAUACACUUGAACCUGGCGUUCCUGGUAGCCAGCGCAAAAAGGACAUGAUGCGGAUUAUGGAAUAAAACCACACCAGUGCCCUUCUGUGCUGCUCCUCUGCUCUGACUCAGAAGUAGGUGUUCCAGAGAAUUCUCUAAUUUCCCUGACUUCGCUCCUUACCUCCCAUUUACUCUUCCCCGCCCAUUUUAGGUGUUUUCCUUUCUUGUAUUUUCUGUUCAUCAAAACAAUACAUCUUUUUUUUUUUAGUGCCAAAAGGUACUGAGUGAGGCCUCUUACUCCACUGUCCACACUUUAAACUCACUCUUCGCCCUUUGUUUUACUAGUUGCUUUGUACACCUAAGUAACCUGCUCUGUUGCUGUUUCUUGAUGUGUAUAUUGGGUUCUGAUGAGUCUAUUUAUUACGACAUGAAGAUUUAUUCUCUUAUAAACCACCUUCACUCCUCCCUCUUCUCAUGCCACUGUAGUUAAGACUACAGAUCUCGUUUACUAUUGCCUGCAUGACUAACAAGGCUGAGCAUCCUCUAACAUGUUUACUUGCCAUUUGGAUUUCGUGUGUGUGUGUGUGUGUGUGUGUGUGUGCGCACGCGCGCGCGCAUGUGUGUCAGUGGACAUAAAACAUGCUUGAGCAAACCUUUUGACUAUUUUUUCAUUGGGUUUUUCCUUUAUAAUUUAUUUGUAAUAGAUCUUUUUGUGUUCUAAAUAGAAGUUCUUAAUCAACUACAUGGUUACUAAUGUUUUCUUUCUCCCAUUGUGUGACUUAUCUUGUCAUUCUCUUUCUAGUUUAUUUUAAUUAACAGGAGGUAUUAACAGUUAAUCAAAUUUAUCACUUUCCCUUUAUGGUUAGUUCUUUGGUGUGUAUCUUGUUAAAGAAAUAUUUUCCAACCCUGAGGUCAGGAUGAUAAUCUGUGUUAUCUUCUGAACACUUGAUAGUUUUACCUUCUCUGUUUAGGUCUGUAAUUCACUUAGAGUUGAUUUUUGUGUAUAGUGUGAGUUAGCGGUCUAUUUCUGUAUUUUUCCAUAUGGACACACAAUUGUCCGAGCCCCAGUUCCUGAAAAGAACAUGCGUUGUUAGCUGUAGUGCCCUCUUUAUCACGAGUAUCCAAAUAUGUGUGGGUCUGUAUUUGGACUCUGUUUUCUUUUCCAUUGAUCUCUUUGUCGUCCUUACUCUUUAAGUGUCACUUUCUAACAUGUCUUGAUAUUAGUUGAGUCAAAUCUUCAACUGGUCUCUUCUUUUUAAAAAGUGUUAUGGCUAUUUUUUGUCACUUGUAUUUUACAUAAAAGUUUACAUACAAGAACCAGCUUGUCAAAUUCUACACGUGUGCUUACGUCUUUAUGUACACCUACAUGUACAUACACACAUGAAAUCAACCAAAAAAAAAAAAAAAAAAAAAAACCACCAAACCAAUUUAACCAACAAAAAUUUAAAUCCGCACAUUGAGUUCUUCAUUGAAGUUGCAUUGACUAAAGUCCAUUUGGUGAGAAUUGACAUCUAAACAAUACUGGAUGGAUCUUCCAGUCCAUGAGUAUGGCAUAUCUGUCCAUUUAUUUAGGAUUCUUAAUUUUAAGCUUUUAUCCUUUUCUGUGUAUCUUUGUAGCUCCAUUGCAUGGAUUUGGGUGUAUGUUAUUUUUGUUACCAUACAUUUAAAGUGUUUCCUGAGUUCUGUCAUGGUUUCUUUUUUGACCCCUGGGAUUAUUUAGAAAUGCAUUUCUUAAUUUCCAAACAAAUUGAAAAUUUCUAGUUCUCUUUUGGAGCUUGAUUUCUGCCAUAAAUGUGUUGUGAUCAAAGAGCACAUACUUUUCUGUCCUGUGAAAUGUAUUGAGACUGCCUUUAUGACCCAGUAUAUGGUACUUUUUUGCAGCUGUUCUAUGUGUGCUUGAAAAGAACAUUUAUUCUCCAGUAGUGGGAAGCAGCAUUUUAUCCAUGUGUAUUAGGUGAAGUUUGUGAAAAUUUUAUAUUUUUACUGAUAUUUUUGUCUCCUUUGGUUUAUCAGCUACAUAGAGUCUUAAAAUACCCUUCUGUGAUUAUAGAUUUGUUUUAUUUCUUCACUUAGUUACAUAAAUUUUUCCUUUGUAUGUUUUGAGGCAGUGUUAUUAGAUAAAGGUGUAUGACAGGCCUUGAGAAAUGUUCCUGUUGUCAUUAUAAAUUGAACCCCUUUAUCUCUAAAAUUAUUUGUUACCUGAUAUUAACAUAGCUCCUCUGACUUGCUUUUGGUUGCUAUUUACAUGGUAUAACAUUUUCAACUCUUUUAUUUUCAACUUGUCUGUAUCAGAGGUGCUUCUUGUGAACAGCAUGUAGUUGGGUUUUUUUUCCCCCUUAAUCUAGUUUGACAGUCUCUGUCUUUCAGCUGCUGCAUUUAGCCCAUUUAUAUUUAAUAUAAUGUAAAUGCUGACCUAUUUGUAUUGAAGCCUCUCUGUCCUUUCUAUUUUAUUUUCUUUUUCUUUCUUUCUUGCUUUCUUUUGGAUUAUUUUGUAUCAUUCAGUUUUUAUCGUUUUCUCAUUUAAAUGCUCUCUGUUCUUUUUUUCUAUUCUGUUAAUAGUUUCUGGGGAAAAUUACAACAGGCACCCCUAACCCCCUUCCCAGAUUAUACAGGACCAUUUUGGCACCCCCACCUUACAUGCGGCUGUUGUUGUUAUACACUUUAAUUCUGUUUUCAAACCCUAAUGUCAGUGUUCACUUAGAUCUAUCCACAUAUUUACUACUUUGCCUGCCCUUCACUCCUUGUAUCUCUUGUUUGUCCAGCUGGGAUCGUCUUCCUUCUGCCUGAGGUCUUUUUAGAAUUUCCUUUAAAGUGGGACCAUUGGUGGGGAACUAGUUGAGUUUGUUUGAAAAUGUAUGCCUGAUGCCACGAUUUUUUUGGGAAAGCUGCAGGAUCUCUACAUUUUAAUUUUAAUGCGUAUGUACCGUCACCUAAUCCCACCAUCUCCCGCAUGGUGUCUGCGCCCUCCACUCUAUCUGGUGCCCUCUGUGCCAGAGCGUCUCUGUCUUAUCCUUGUUGUUGAGCUGAUGAAUCUUCCAGUCUUGUGUUGAGAUAGAGAAAGGGGGCCUAGGGGUACGGGUACGUGUUAAAUGCGCAAACAGGCCUUCUCUUUUAAUUUUCGCCUUUACCUUCUGAAGAGAUCCGUGUGGUCACCAACAUCUGAGCCGCGAGGGAUUCUGCAGGGCAUAGUGUUUCCCUGCCGUUCAGGACCAGCUUUCUUGGGUUUGCUGAGGUAGGUGCUAGAGCCCCUUACCCAGCCGUAAGCCAGUGCCCUGUUACUUCUUUUCUGUCUGCUUUUCAGCGUCUAACAUUCUUUUUGUGCUUGAGAGUUUGUGUCUUUAUUUUAAGAAAUCCGGUGGCUCUUCAAAAGGGAGUGUAGAUCGGUGAGUGGGCUCCUAAGCCUCAUCGUUUGCUUACUGUCGCCAGCCAUUACCGUGUGCCAGAACCAGUGGUGCUCUGUUGUUCUUACCAUCUUAAAACUCAGUUCGGCAGAAUUAAUCCCUCGCCUGUAACAUACUGCCUCUUUCUUGGCCCUCGCGAUAGUACCUUCUGUAGGUUUUCCUCAGGUCUUUCUGGAUCCUUCUUCUCUGGCUCCUUUGUUGCUUCCUCUUCCGUGCAGCGUUUGCCUGUUGGAGCCCUGCUGGAGCCCUGCUGGACAUUCCAGAACCCGGGGGUGCUCGCCUCACCCUGCCUCUUCUCCCUAAGGAGUCCCACCCGUUUCUUCCUUUAUUCAUUCCGUGUUUAGUGAACGUUCUUCACAUGCCAGACACUCUCCGGGCCCACGGAAUGACAGCGAAUCCUGUAGGGAGGCUGUGGCGGCCGGUCUUCCAGGCAAGAGGGGAUGGUGGCUUGGGCCAGUCCGGUCACCGUGGGGACGGGGAGACAGAGUUGCAUUCUGGGUAUUCUCAGGGUUUCAAAUACCUGUUCGCCCGUGGCUCCCAGACUCAGUCUGUGGACAGAGCUCUCUCAUCUGCUUGUGUGUCUUCCCGAUAUUCCAAACCCAGCACGUCCACAGUCGAACUGUUAAUAGCUCCGUAGCUGCCCCCCCUUCCUCGGUAAUUGGGGGAAUGGUUUCAGGCCAGAGAUCCGGGAGCCCCUUGCGAUGCUGAUUCUUUUUCGGUCUCCUGCCACUAACGUGUCACCGUGUCUUCCCGAUUCUCUCUCUGGAGCACGUCCCAAGGCCGUCCACUUCCUCCUUUUCCAGUGGCACCGUCCCGUUCACUCUCUCCUCACCCCGGCCUGGGUCGGCGGUGGCUUCCUGACUCCUGUUCCCCUCCUUCCCUCGGGGUGUCCGGGAAACACGGACCCCCCCCCACCCAUCCCGUGAGACCUCGCAAAACAAAACAGGAUCCUUCCUCUCUGCCUCUGGACUCUCCCUGCCCCCACACCGUCUGUCCCAAACACGCUCCGUUUACAGAACCCCCAAGACUGCCCGCCGUGCUCGGAAUGACCCGGAGUCCCCAGCACAGCCUGAGAGGCCCCGUCUGAUCUCGCCGCUGCCUCCUCCUGCACUUGUAUCCGGAGCUGCUCUCCCCACCGCGGCACUCCCCCCACACGCUUUCUUACUGUGGCUCACGUGCGCCUCAUGGUCACCGCAGGCAGUCACCUGCACCGACCUCUCGCCUGAACUGCCCUCCCCGGGGCCAGCCUUCCGCGUGCUGGGUGCUCGGCUCCCGCGGUCUCUUCUCAGCCAAAGGUCGCUGGAGCCCGGCCCGGUCCGGUCACCCCUCCUGUAACCUGCCGUGUCCGCGCAGCGCAGUGUGUCACCACAUACUUGUGCGUUUACGUCUCAGUUGCCCUCUGGGCCAAGUGCUGUGAGGACAGGGACCGUUUUUUUCUGUUGUUCACCCCAGUACAAUCUGCCACUGUCUGGCACCUAGUAAAUGUCCAGUAAACACUUCUUAGACACAUAGACAUGUGGGGACAACACUGAACAAAUAGCAGCCUGCCGAGAGGUGUGUGUGUGUAUUUGGUGGGAACAGGGGCGGUUGGCAACACACGAAAAAUUGCUCCUGUGGGUUCUGUGACUCUUCGUGAAUGAAGUCAAGUCUGCUCGGCAGCGACGGUUUCAGAUUUGUUUCGUUUAACCCCCUCUUCUAAUUAACACCAGCCAAGUUUUUACAGAACUUUCAUUUCAGUGUUUUGUGUCAAAAAUCAGUAGAUAUUUUGGGUAUGUUUAGACGAGGAAUCGUGCUGAUAACCAUCUCUCCAUUCUCUGAUCACUCAGGCUCAGCUGCCCGUGCACAUGUACUUAACCAUGCUCUGCGGGAUGGGGGCUGAGGCCUCGUGACGCUGUGGGGAGCAGUCCUCGGUCCCCAUAGGAGAUCAGUGCGGGGGACCCUGGGAGACUGCCACUUUCUUGGCCACCCUUGGGGAUUGGGAACUUCAGGCUGGCUCUCCUAUCAGAGCCAACUAGGGCCGAGGGCCAACGCCCCUGCCCCCAGGCUAGGAACGGAGGCCCCAGGCUCCAUUUCUUGGAGGUAGAUUCUAGAAACCAGCGGGGAUUUCCAGUCUCAGGGAGAGGGCAGCAUGUCAAAGGGGCGCUCCGCUGGGCUGGGAAGACCUGCCCUCCACAGCUGCUCCAGGGGCACGAGCCCAGCCAGGCCCCAGCUGUUCACUCGCCCGCUCGCUUGUGGGUCACCCACAGUAAUGACACGGUAGCCGAGGCCAUCGGAAAAUUCCAGCCCCACCACCACAGGGUCAGUUCCUUGUUUGUCAGUUUAUUGUGGCAAGUGGGAUUUUUUGUUGUUGUUGCUUCCAAAUAGAAACCACUGAGCUUUAUUUGAAAUGUUUUUCUUUUAUUCUUUUUUGAUCUGUGUUUUCAUCAGCUGUCCUUGAUGUGGGCUGUUUUGUUUUGUUUUGUUUUUAUUGGAGGGGGAGGGGACAGGCAUAGAGAAUCCAAACAGGAGUUUUUUUUCUGUUCUUUUCUCUCUUUUUUCCCUUCCUUUCUCUUUCUCUCUCUCUCUCUCUCUCUCUCUCUAACACUGAAACACCUCAUUUGUAAGUUUCCUUGCGUACAGAAAUGUAGCAAGUAGUUUACAGAAAUAUUAAACAAACUGUGUUUUCCCCUGUGACCUGACCCAUGUCGAGGAGGUGUGGCCCGGGGCAAGAGUGGCAGCUGCUGGGUCCGACACACCCGCACCCCACCCCUCCUAGUUUGUAAACACUGCAUUUACUUUCUUUGGCCUUAAGCUUCUUUGCUUAUAAAACAGACCGUACUCCUAUCCUCACAGGAUCAUGAUGGAUGAUGUCAUGGUUUAUGGGUUCAAGCCCUGCAUCGGGCUCUGUGCUGACAGUGUGGAGCCUGCGUGGGAUUCUCUCUCUCUCUCUGCCCAUCCCCCAGUUGUGCUCUCUCGCUCUCGUGCGCGCUCUCUCUCUCUCUCUCUCAAAAUAAACUUUAAAAUGUAUAUAUUUAAAAACAAAACGAACAGGAGACUCAUGGCAUUUCAGAAAAGAAGAAAUCCGAAUGGCCAGCACACCUGGGGAAAGAGCUCAAUGUCAUCAGUCGCCAGGGAGAUGCACAAUUAACCCACAGUGAGAAACCCACCGGAAUGGCUAAUGGCGAGGGCCGACAGUAUGAAGUGAUGGCAAGGGUGUGGAGCUGCAACCUGAACCUCCGAACCUUGCUGGGGAAGAUGUAGAUUGGAGUAACCCCUUUGGAGACGUUCUGGCCGUGUCUCCUAACACAGCGCACACACCCGGCCUGCGAGCCAGCAGCGUCCUUCCCGGUACCUUCCCCCGGGGGGAGUGCACGCGUGUCUCUUCCAGACGUGCAGGAGCCUUCACAGCAGAGCCAUUGAUGAUAACCCCGAGGUGGGAGCAUCCCGGGACUCACCCGUAGUAGAAGGGAUGAAUCCAUGGUGGCCUGUUCCUACCAUGUGUGCAGGUGGGAGGGGGGGUAUUACUAGGGAAGGGGCACGCGGGGGCCCUCCGGGAUGGGGUGCGGGCGUGUCCUUAAUCUCGGUGUAGGUGGAGUCAUGGGGACACACCCACGUGAGGAAACCCCUCAAGACGUGCCCUCGGAUGUGUGUGUUCUGUUGCGCCACGCACAAGUUUUUUAAAUCACCUGUUGGGUUCUUCCCGCGUGCCACGUCCUGUUCUGGCCCCUUCACCGGGGCUAAGACCACCCGCUUCAUUGGGAACGUUUAUUUCCAUUUCCCGCUGAGAACGCUAAAGCUCAGGCGGCUGGUUCCUUGACGCCAGCCGCUCCAGAUCCGCCCGGCGUGGGAGGGGCAGGGCCAGGGUGCAGGCCCAGGUGUGUCUGACUCUAAGGCCCGUGCUUCGUCCGAAUUCAGGGGUCUAGACUUGCCCGUGCAUGCUCGCUUCGCUCCGUCACGGCGUUCCUUUCAGGCGUGCUUUCUCCGGGACACGUGGGUCAUCGGCUGUGUUGGGUACGAAGUCUUGGACUGAUCUUGCCGAACGUGUAGCGCAUGGUACCCGCUCAGCGCUCUGUUGCAACCGUGGAUGAUCGAGAUGCACCCCUGAGCCUGGAGAUGGACCCCCCUUCCCGUUUCCCCUCCCUCCUCCUCUGGAACUCUAGACCUGCGUGUCUUCCUCUCUGGGAUCCUUCCGUGACCCCCGGGACCGAGCAGAGCGCGCCAGCGCGUCUUUAUGGUUCAGUUGUGCUCCGCGUCUCCGUGAGCACACCGCACGGACGUACCCGCAUAUGUAACCCCUUCCCUCGAGGACAACUUACCCCGGGUGGGAUCUGUGUCCUCGUGCGUUUACACCUCGGGACACGCUCCACACUGGACCCCACGGAUCCAAGGGAGCGUUACCAAAGUGUGUUCCAAAGCACAGAGUUUUAUGUGGUGUCUUGAACAGCUGUUACUUGAGGGAAGGCUUCUAGACGAUAUGUCCGUACCUGCAUGUCUGUGCGCACACGCACGCACACGCACGAACCGUGCUGCCCAAGCCUGUCUCCAGCAGGACUGCGUGGAGUCCUUACCGUUCUUAUGUGCGUUUUGGAGACUCUGGACUCUAAGCGCCACAUCUUGGGAGACGAUGGAAAUAUAUUCCAUUCUGUCCUUCUUAUUAGUUUAUUUUCAUUUUAGAGGGGGAGGGGCAGAGAGGGACUCUUAAGCAGGCUCCGUGCUCCGCGCGGAGCCCGAGGCGAGGCUCAGCCUCACGACCCUGGCGUCGUGACCUGAGCCGAAGUCAAGAGUCCGACGCUCAACCGACUGAGCCACUCAGGCGCCCCAGCGCUGUACUUACUGGGGAGUCCAGGCUUGUGACUGGACCUGCCACGCAGCAGCCAGAGGGGGGCCGUUCAGAGAAGUGUCUGAAGUACUUCGGGAGGGCACAAGAGGCUAGAGUUGGUGGGGUUCGUAAAAGGUGUAGCCGUGCGCUUCCACGCCAAAGGAGUGCUGGCGCUGUGUUCACAGAACGGUGCCUUUCUGCUGCUGAUACCCUACACUGCCCACCCGGACGUUCAGUGCGGUGAACGGCUAGGGAAUCGUUCUGAGGGAACGCUGUCCCUCCUCUUUCUGGAGGGAAAGAGCCAUUUAUUUUUUAUUUACUUCUGUAUUUCUGAGUCCCCAGCAUGAAAUAGCUGAUAAACUGAUUAUUUGUUCUGUUCCUGAGCGGCCAAACACUAGGAACACUCAGGAACACUCUUAAUGCUGUUUUAGUUGGAAGAGAUAAACUUUUGGCUGAGCUGGCCAGUGAUUUAAUUUGGUUUUGUAAAGCCCCUCGCUGAUUGUCUUGCCUCUCACCUAGUGCGUUUGAAGAUGUCCAGACCCAACAUUUCUCCCCGACCAGAGCAAACAAGUUUGUACACACACAGCUUUGCAGGUCAGGGGAGGCCUCCCUGGGGCCCCGUGUGACGUGAGCCAAGCAUGGGCCGAGGACCGGACAAUGUGCGGGUGCCGCUCCCAGGCUGCUAAGAGUGUGACACGCUGCCACCAGCCCCCUGAGAGAGAGAGAGACACACACACACACACACACACACACACACACACGGAUGCAUCUCAAUGGCACCAUUCACAGUGAAAGGGGAAAGAAGCCCCGUUUGUGUGGCUUCUGUGGUAUCCUAGCAACCAGUUCCCCAGGGCCUGAAGCCGAUGGCCGGAGGAGUCCGCGUCCCGGAAUGAAUGAGGCUUUCACAAAAGCGGACCGCUUCCUGGUUCAGGCGUUGUGGCAAGUAGACCGUUUUGAAGUGAGACGCACACACUUCGAGUUGCGCUCCUUCCCGUGGCCUCUGCUUCGCUUUUCCACCUGCUUGCAGUUUUCCCGCGUCUCUGAAAUAGAGGCUACAAAUGGCGGGCAUCGUUAGCGCACAGAUUCUGCGUCCCGCAGGCUGAGGCACAGAAAGUGGUUCUCCCCGAGGGCGCCCAGAGGUGACAGAGAAGAAGUUGAGGCAGAAACGGUCGUGACUGGCCAUGGCUCCGCACUCCUGAGCAGCAGGCCUGGCGUUUAGAACCCGCACUUUCUGACUCCAGGGCCCAAGAGCUUCAUGUGGGUCCUGUGAUCGUUUGACACACUGGGGCAUGGUCUCCCCCCCGCCCCCCCGAAUGGAUGAAGCAGCCAAGGCAAAGGGUAAUGAAGUCCCGGCCUGACAGAGGGGUCGGGGGCUCCACAGCCUGCCCGGGGCCCCGCGCUGUCUCUCAGGUGUGCCAGGGGCCGGGCAAGAUGCACGGCAGACGUCCCCUCCCGCCGUCCUCACAUGUCACCUGACCAGCUCUACCUUGUUGCGGUUGUGUAAACUGGCCCCAAGUUGCGCAUCGUACGAAGUGGCCGCGUUGGAAUUUGAGCCCAGGUCUGUCCUUUUCCAGGACCUUCCUCUGGCCUCGGUGGACCCCUCCUGGGCCCCCGUUCCCACACUUUCCUCUCGAAACCACGUUCCACGCACCUACCCAAGACAGGGUCCUGAUUUCUCUACUUCGCUCUUGCCCCACGUUCUAAUUGUACUGGAGUAAAACACAGACUCUUCACCGUAUCCCGAUUCCCUGCAAGGUCUGCCUUGUUGCUUUCCACUCUCCCGACACAGAGGUGACCCCGGACCUUUCUUCGUGCCUUGGGGCUUGUGCACGGCCCGCAGCCCUCUGCCCCAACACCCCUUUUUUGUAGCCUGUGGUUCUGAGAGUGGUGGUGCCUCCUCGGAGAGGCCGCCUCCCACUGCCCUUGUCCGGUGAGUCAGUCUCUAGAAUGUAGAUGCCACAAGGGCGGGGACCUGACCAUCCUGGGAACUGUUGUUUUCCCAGCACGGAGCGUGGUGUCUUCACAUUUGCUGACGAGCGACUAGAUCAUGGCUGACUUCUUCAGACAGCCGGGUGUGUGAUCAGCCGUUUGCAUCUUUGUUUGGAUCUAAAUCCCGUGCUAAUUCCAGUAUAAUGCUCAAGGAGCAGAUUGUUUGCAGAGAGGAGGAAAAACACGGUAGAGUAUUAGAUUUCUAUAAUGGAAUGAGAUUUUUCUCCCCAGAGUGAGGCGGCCGGUACUUUAGAAGUGGUAAGAGAGACAUACGUCAGGGAAGAACCUUAGAACUUAACGUCACCACCACAACCAGCUUGGCCUUCAUAUAAAUAGCCCAGCGGGCCCGUGGUAUUUAUUUCCAGUUAGCGUGGAAGGCAGUUGCACGUGAUAAAUUUCUGCCGAGUGGUCUUCCCUUUAAAACGGACACGGCCGAGCUCCUCCCGUAACCAGGAUGAGUGGGCUCCCGGGUCUGUGCUCUGUCCUUAGUUCCCCUGCUACUGAGAGAAGUGGAAGCCGACAGCACAGGAUGAGAAACACCACCGCUCACGGGCUCGCUUCGGGGCGGGGGAGUGUGGGCGGGAAACGGACGCGUCUGCGGGCCCACCCCUCUUGACCGCUGACUUUCUGGGAGCUGGGGGGGUCGGCGGGGGGGGUGGGGGGAGACAUGCCAGCACGGUGGCCCGUGGAGUGGACCGUCCCGGGUGACCAGUGACAGUGGUAACGUGUUCAGGCCCCUGGCACGUGCGGUUUGUGAACACACCCUCCGGGGCGCCUGCUGUGUCUCGUCUAGUCUGAAAUCUGCCAGAACCCCCACACUGUGUGUCUGUCAUUGAAACAGAAGCCUUGCUCUCUUAGAAGUAUUUCUGACCCUUAGCUGUGCUGCAUAAACUUUGGACUUCAUUAGCGCUAGACUGACACUCAUCUUCUGUGAUUUAGUUGAGACUACUCACUUUUUCUGCUCCAAAUACUAAUUUCAUUUUGAACUGUUUUUUCUUGAUGUUUAUUUCUUUAUUUGGGGAGAGAGACCGAGCGUGCAUGUGUGCAGGGGAGGGGCAGAGAGAGGGAGAGAGAGAAUCCCGCACAGGCUCCACCGUGUCAGCACAGAGCCCGACGUGGGGCUCGAUCUCAUGAACUGUGAGGUCACGACCUGAGCCGAAACCAAGAGUCAGACACGCAACCGACCAAGCCGCUGGUGCUCCUUGAACUGUCCGUUAGCUAGUUCCAGGGGUGCUUUGCAGAGGUAGUCACUCUAAUCUCUGCAAGCUUAUUUUGUCCCUCGGGAUGCUUUGAAGAGAAAGGGACCUUACUUGAAGUACCGUCAGACCCACCGUCCCUUUAACUGACUUGGAGGCAGAGGUAGGCGGCUUGCGGUUAGACUGAGCCACAGGAAGAACCGCUCUGUCCGCCUCCUCCCCCCCCUCCGCCCCCACUUCCCUCCUCGUCGGCCACGCUCCCGGACAAGUGCUCGGAAGUAGGUGGCGCGGUGGUCGCGAGGGUGGGUGCCGAGCCCGCCUCCCACCCUGGCUCAGCCGCCUGAGGGCGUGUGACCUCGGACCAGCGUGAGCCCCGGCGUCUUGUGUCGUCAUCCGUAAAAGGAGGGUGACGGUACCUGCUGCAGAGUGCAUCCUGAGGACUGAAUGCUUCCUCUGGGUCCUGGAACAGCCCCGACGUGUCCUGGGCGUGUCACAGCCGCUGCCGUCACGUUUAUGGCGCUCGCUCUGACUGUUUCGUGCAGAUACGCGGACGGUCUUGGUUUCUGCGAGAGGCGCUGGAAUCGGUUCCUCUCGCAAAGCCUUGCUUAAGGCGGAGUCCCUGCGGAGAAGGUCACUGCUGCUCACCCGACGGUUCCUUUAUCCCAGAGAGCACACGGUACUUUACGGACGUCCUCUUGCCUGGCAGACGGGGCCUGGAGCCUCCUGGGGGUCUCUGCUGUGCGACCACGGGCUUCUGCUCAUGAUCGCUCCGUCCUCGGGGGCCGGGCCAUCUCGGGUGGCUCCACGCGGUCUCCGGCCGCGGCCCCGAGCGGGGAUCGCGGCACCAGGGCGGCACGGUGUCUUUAGGAGUUUGUCGUGUCCAGAGUGCAUCUCCCCGACGAACGCUCCCCUGCAGCGUGAGGACUGACUUCGUGUGGGGCUGGGCCCCCGCGCGCGCUUGGGUUCGGUAACCUCUCACUCACGGCCCACCUGCCCCGGAAGAGCUUCGAAGUAGGUAGAAGACGGGCAGGGGGCAUUCGUCCCACGGACGCUGAAAGCGUCUCUCCUUCCGCGCGCCAGGAGCUGCGGGGACGAAGCCGGCGGUCCCGGCACGCAGGUGAUCACCCGCUCUGUGGGAGGGGUCUGGUCCACUCCGUGACCGCAGCCUGAGAAGGGGCGCGGGAGGGGGGCCCGGGGAGGGGGGCGCGCAGCGUGAUGGGCCCUGGGGGUUCUUCCUGCGCCGCUUCCCGAGCGCGUGCUGCGUGCCCGCCACGUGCCAGGUGCCGCUGAGAUGGGACACGCAGGGGCUCGCCCGGGUCUCAGAGGUGACACUGGAGUGCGGCCCCAGAUGCACAUGGAACCGCUUCACGGCCCCAGAAGCCUUUAGUGUGGUUUCAGUUAGAAGUGGUGGUGGCCGUUUCUGAUCCCGAGACCUGUCGUGGGAUGUGGACACCACGCUCUGACCGCCCCGUGCCACACUGCGCUUUCAAGUGGUGAGUCAAGUGAUUCCAGACUGUGUCAUGCACGAAAUUGGUCGCGGUGCCCUCGGAGCCUUUACCUCCAAAACCCCGCGGCUGUGAGCUACCCACGCAGCCCUCACUUGGCCGCAGGAGCUUCUGGGGUGGGGAGCGGGUGUGGUGACAGAGGGCAGGGCCCUCCUCCUCCCGUCACUCGGCCGGUGCCACUUUGCUCAUCUUGGAGGCUUGGGCUUUAUAUGUGUGGGAUUUGUCAAGGACCAAGCGCUCCUAACCCGGCUGGUGUGGAGGGGGUGGGGGGCAAGAGACAGACCGCGUCCGCACGCAUGUGACGGCGCUGGGGACGCGGAGCCACCUGAGGUGGGGGGAGAGGAGCAGAGGCCCGUGAGGUGCUGAGUGUCGGGUCUCCCCUGUAGAGGCUCCACUUGCGGAAAGUAAAUCGUACCUACCAAGGACAGAGAAUGCACCCUUUGUUCCAGAAUCACCUAGAAGGUGCUGAUCGGGGUUCAGCCCAGGAAUAAAGUGUCUGACACAGCUCUGUCAGAAUUGGGCAGUUUGUGUUCUUGGGCCUUGUGGCUCUUCCUGUGACGUCCUAGUCCCCUGGGGAUUCAGAGGCCAGGAAACGGCCCCUGCCUGCAGAGGGGGUGGUUCCGGGAUGACUCCUUCCUGCCCCUUCUUGGAGCUCGUGCUAAACACAAGUAUUAUUUCAUAUUCUCCAGACUGUGGCCUGUAAUCUACCAAUCUGGCAGCUGUCCCCCCGCCCCCACCAGCCGGGUCAGUCUUCCCGUUACCACGCUCAGGAUUCACAAUUAGCCAGUAAUUGGUAAAUGAACGAGGACGCAUGCGUUCAUUUGUCGGUGCCGCCGGGACACAACACGCGGCAGAGCCUCGAACGGCUCGGAUCCGCACGGCGCUGGAGCGCCUGAACCACAGAUGUUCCCUCAUAUUAAAAUACAGAAGUGCGGAGGGAAAUCAGAUACCAGAUAGGCUGACAAUUUGGAGAAGGAGGAGGGAGCCAGAUGGGCAGUUUGUGGCGGUUAUUGGGCAGACUCUGGCUUCCAGCGCCAGGCGGGGAGACCCCGGAUAGAAUCCGCACCGCAGAAACUUCUGCUUUAAUUUCCUGACGGAGAAGAGCAUGGGGUUAGCCGGAUGACAUAAUGAGAGUUAAGAGCAGAAGGUAAUUAUGGUAGAUGAAGGCAGAAGGAAAGGGAAGUAUGUUGGCCCUUGGAGGUCGAGUCAGUCCGUGCAGGAAAAGCAUGUGCUGUCCCGGGAAGGGAAGGAACGGUGGCCGUGUUUUCCAGGUGUGUCCUGACCGCCGGCCCUCGUCUGUCCGCAGCUGGGUGCCCCUCACCCUCCAGAAACCCCUGAAUCGUGAGCUCUUCCUCCUUCACCACCUCCACUCGGACGUCCUCUGUGGUUUGGACAAGGUCCUCGCCCUCCGGCAGAGGCCUCAGGGGAGCCCAGGGAUCCCGGGGCAGCAGUUUGAGAGGCGCCACUUUUUCCCCCUCAGAAAGUCAGUACAUGAAGAGCAGGGCUGAGGUUGGUGAGGACCUGGGAAGCGGGGCCCCCCAGAACACCCCCCGACACGGGCAGGUUCUCCGACUUGUGUGGCUAGGAGGAAGGCGAAGUAAGUCAUUGCCGCGGGAAGAGAAGCCGCCCUUUCGAUGCCUGCUCGUCCUUUGCCUGACAGAAUGGGCGUAUUUAGAAGUAUUUUGUCUUGUAGCAAGGGAAAGCGUUUUCAGAAGCAUUUUAAACUGAGCUACUUCUUGGCACUCUGAAAAAUUCUUCAGUUUUACCACUUCUGUGAAGAUACUAGUUUAGAUACGGAAGUCGUUUGAAAGCAUCCUGAUCUUUAGCAGAACUGUAGCUUCGUAUUACAAAAACCUUAAUAUGAUAACGUGGCAGGUAAUUACACGGUUUUUGUGAAACCCGGAAACCUGAUCAAGUAGGCUCACCUCAUAUCGAACAUCCUGUUCUCACACCAACUUUGUAAAAGGUUUUUAUGCUGUGCCCUACUAAAUAGUUGACUUUGUUAGGCAGUACGUAAAUCCCAUGCCAUCAAUGGGCUUGUUGUCUAAAAAUAAUUUUUCGAAAUGUAUCCCGAAAGCAAAAAUUAAAUGUAGAUCCUAUGUA